ensembl:misc_RNA Metazoa_SRP Metazoan signal recognition particle RNA
GCCAGGCAUGGUGAUGCAUGCCUGUAGUCCCAGCUACUCAGGAGGCUGAGGUAAGAGGAUCACUUGAGCCCAGGAGGUCGAGGCUGCAGUGAGCUGUGAUUGCACCAAUGCACUCCAGCAUGGGCAACAGAGUGAGACCCUGUCUCAC